rnacentral:rRNA from 1 species
CUACGGGGUGCUGCAGUGAGGAAUAUUGCACAAUGGGGGGAACCCUGAUGCAGCAACGCCGCGUGGAGGAUGACGCAUUUCGGUGUGUAAACUCCUUUUAUAUGUCAAGAAAAUGACGGUAGCAUAUGAAUAAGCACCGGCUAACUCCGUGCCAGCAGCCGCGGUAAUACGGAGGGUGCAAGCGUUACUCGGAAUCACUGGGCGUAAAGGACGCGUAGGCGGGUUGGAAGGUCAGGUGUGAAAUCCAACAGCUUAACUGUAGAACUGCACUUGAAACUUCUAAUCUAGAGUAUGGGAGGGGGAGAUGGAAUUAGUGGUGUAGGGGUAAAAUCCGUAGAUAUCACUAGGAAUACCUAAAGCGAAGGCGAUCUCCUGGAACAUUACUGACGCUAAGGCGUGAAAGCGUGGGGAGCAAACAGGAUUAGAUACCCGCGUAGUC